rnacentral:rRNA from 1 species
AUGUUGAGUGGACAAACGGCGGUUAGUGGCAGCAGCAGCAGCAUCAUCAUCGUCAGCCGCGGCGUCGAGCAGGGGAGCGGGAGCGGGGAGCAGAACCAGUGGCGGCCGAUCGAGGAGGAAGAGGUGGAGCCAGAGUUCAGGGACAUCCACGCGCUGAGCCCGCCCCGCGCGCUGAGCCUGUACCGCCGGAGCCAGCCGGGCAGCAGGGACUCUUGGGGGUCUGCGGCGGGUGCAGGGGGGAGCAGACACACGUCGAUCCGCUCCGUCGGGAGCGACACCGCCCCCAGCGAGCUCUUCCCUACUAUGAGCAGAGAGUUCUCGGCCAUGGUCGCCGCAGCAGCCAGCGCUAACGCCUCGUCCUCCGCCGCAGCGGGUCACAGGGAGAGCGUGGACCGCGUGGCGAACGAGGACGCGCUGGAGAGAAUCGGCGAGGAGGAGCUGGAGGAGACGAACCCGCUCGCCAUCGUGCCGGACAGCAACCCCAUCCCGUCGCCGCGCCGGGGCCUGUCGCCGCGCCCGGUGGCCGGCGGCGAGGUGGCGGUGCCUGGUGCCGGACAGGGCGACGAGGUGUCGGUGGGGCAGGUGAAGAAGGACGAGGUGGAGACCAAGAUCGCGGCGUGGCAGAUCGCGGAGGUCGCCAAGGUCAACAACCGCUUCAAGCGCGAGGAGGUCGUCAUCAACGGGUGGGAGGGCGACCAGGUCGAGAAGGCCAGCGCAUGGCUCAACAAGUACGAGAGGAAGCUGGAGGAGAAGCGGGCCAAGGCGAUGGAGAAGGCGCAGAACGAGGUGGCCAGGGCCCGGCGGAAGGCGGAGGACAGGCGCGCGUCGGCGGAGGCCAAGAGGGGCACCAAGGUGGCGCGCGUGCUGGAGCUCGCCAACUUCAUGAGGGCCGUCGGCAGGGCGCCCACCAAGCGCUCCUUCUUCUGA